UAGAUGCGAGAGUAGAGCAUAUCAAUAAGCGGAGGAAAAGAAACUAACAAGGAUUCCCUUAGUAACGGCGAGUGAAGCGGGAAGAGCUCAAAUUUGAAAUCUUCAAGGUUCUACCUUGACGAAUUGUAGUUUAAAGAAGUGUUUUCUGUUAGAAGUUGAGUAGCAAAAGUUCCUUGGAAUAGGGACAUCAUAGAGGGUGAGAAUCCCGUAUUUGACAUUAUUCUUCUAGCUGUGUGAUACACUUUCAAAGAGUCGGAUUGUUUGGGAAUGCAGUCCAAAAUGGGUGGUAAAUUUCAUCUAAAGCUAAAUAUUGGCGAGAGACCGAUAGCGAACAAGUACCGUGAGGGAAGGAUGAAAAGAACUUUGAAAAGAGAGUUAAACAGUACGUGAAAUUGUCAAAAGGGAAGCGUUUGACACCAGUGUUGUUUUUCCGAAAAUCAAUUACGAAUGGCUUGAUUUUGUGUUGUAUUGACCUUAUCAGCUUUCUUCACUUUUUUCGAGUCUUUCUUAAUGCACUUUUCGGUUAACAAGUCAACAUCAAUUUCUUUUGUUGUAAAAGAGUAUUCGGAAGGUGGCUUUCUUUUCGGAGAAAGUGUUUAUAGCCCUAUACUUCUACAAUCGGAGAGAUUGAGGUCUGCAGCGUAGAUCCUUCGGGGUUAGAUACAUUUGUGCUAAGUUGUAGCUUUUCAGUAGACAACUUGUUGACUAUGUUUAGUCAUGCGGCUUACUCGCUUGUGCUAUUUUACCUACGCUUAGGAUGUUGAGCGCAUGUCUCUCUCU
rnacentral:rRNA from 1 species